GUGCUCAUUUUGACAGCACUUACACUAAAAUUGGAAGGAUACAGAGAUUAACAUGGCCCCUGCACAAGAACAUAAUUUGUCCCUGAAACAAAUACUUCAUAAAA
ensembl:snRNA U6 U6 spliceosomal RNA